rnacentral:rRNA from 1 species
UACGUAGGGUGCAAGCGUUGUCCGGAAUUAUUGGGCGUAAAGAGCUCGUAGGCGGUCUGUUGCGUCGGCUGUGAAAACCCGGGGCUCAACUCCGGGCCUGCAGCCGAUACGGGCAGACUAGAGUUCGGCAGGGGAGACUGGAAUUCCUGGUGUAGCGGUGAAAUGCGCAGAUAUCAGGAGGAACACCGGUGGCGAAGGCGGGUCUCUGGACAGUUCCUGACACUGAGGCACGAAGGCCAGGGGAGCAAACGGG